UCAAGGAAAGAAGCAUCAUAAGAUAAUGGAUUUCUCCAUUAAGAAGAAGAACGAACUCGAAUAAGAUUUAGUUCGUUGGAUGUUAUCAAUUACCCAUAUAUAUAGGAUAUAUAUAUAUACUUCUAAGACAAUAUGAUUGUCAAUUAGAAGAUCUUCCAAAAUUUUCAUGACUCCAUAGGAUGUAGUUGGAAAGAAAGAUAAAUCUUAAUCAUGUGAAGAUUUGGGGUUGUGUGCUAAAUAAGCAAUAUUUGUUUAAAAAUUAUCUUGUGGGUGUCCUUAAAUUAACAUUUGGAUAUCACUUCUAUAAACCAACUAACAAAUGUUGUUUGUUGGGUAGUUCAUUGUAAUCCUACACUAUGAUUUGCCCAAGAUAGAGUUACACCUCUUAAUUCGAAAGAAAUAAGAAUGAAAAUCCUUAUGACUACAUUGAGUGUAUAUACGAUAUAUACUCAAGGAAAUGGUAAAGUACCAUUUGACCCGAAAUAAUGAAACCUUAAAUAGCUAAUUGGUAGCUUAAGGUGACCACAAUCAAAGAGAAUGGUUGACUUUGAA
rnacentral:lncRNA from 1 species